rnacentral:rRNA from 1 species
UACAGAGGUCUCAAGCGUUGUUCGGAUUCAUUGGGCGUAAAGGGCUCGUAGGCGGCCAACUAAGUCCGACGUGAAAUCCCCAGGCUUAACCUGGGAACUGCGUCGGAUACUGGAUGGCUUGAAUUCGGGAGAGGGAUGCAGAAUUCCAGGUGUAGCGGUGAAAUGCGUAGAUAUCUGGAGGAAUACCGGUGGCGAAGGCGGCAUCCUGGACCGACAUUGACGCUGAUGAGCGAAAGCUAGGGGAGCAAACGGG